UACGAAGGGGGCGAGCGUUAUUCGGAAUUACUGGGCGUAAAGGGCGCGCAGGCGGCCUUAGAAGUCAGAUGUGAAAGCCCCGGGCUCAACCUGGGAAUGGCAUUUGAUACUCUGAGGCUGGAGUACGGGAGAGGAGAGUGGAAUUCCCAGUGUAGAGGUGAAAUUCGUAGAUAUUGGGAAGAACACCGGUGGCGAAGGCGGCUCUCUGGACCGUAACUGACGCUGAGGCGCGAAAGCGUGGGGAGCAAACAGG
rnacentral:rRNA from 1 species